rnacentral:rRNA from 1 species
GAUGAACGCUGGCGGCGUGCCUAAUACAUGCAAGUCGAGCGAACGGACGAGAAGCUUGCUGCUCGGAUGUGAGCGGCGGACGGGAGAGUAACACGUGUAUAACCUACCUAUAAGACUGGGAAAACUUCGGGAAACCGUAGAUAAUAGGAGAGAAUAUUUUGAACCGCGUGGUUCAAAAGUGAGAGACGGUGUUGCUGUCACGUAUAGAUGGAUCCGGGCUGUAUUAGCUAGUUGGUAAGGUAACGGCUUACCAAGGCAACGAGGCAUAGCCGACCUGAGAGGGUGAUAGGCCGCAUUGGAGCGGAGCCGCGCACAAUAGUACUACGGGAGGCAGCAGUAGGGAAUCGGACGCAAUGGGCGAAAGCAUGACGGAGCAACGCGGAGCGAGAGACGACGACCCUCGGAUCGUAAAACUCUGUUAUUAGGGAAGAACAUAUGUGUCAGUAACUGUGGACAGAUUGACGGUAACUAAUCAGAAAGCAACGGCUAACUACGUG